rnacentral:rRNA from 1 species
CGGGUAAGUAACGCGUAGGAAUCUACCUGGUAGUGGGGGACAACAUGGGGAAACCCAUGCUAAUACCGCAUACGCCCUAUGGGGGAGAGCGGGGGACCUUCGGGCCUCGCGCUAUCAGAUGAGCCUGCGUAGGAUUAGCUUGUUGGUGAGGUAAAGGCUCACCAAGGCGACGAUCCUUAGCUGGUCUGAGAGGAUGAUCAGCCACACUGGAACUGAGACACGGUCCAG